AUGGUAUCGACCUUACUUGAUGGUCUUCCUAAUGAAGUGGCUCUCCAGUGCCUUGCACGUGUCCCGUUUGUAUCCCAUCCUAUUCUUCAGCUGGUUUGCCGCUCUUGGAGAGCAUCUGUUCGCAAUGGGGAGCUUCUCAAUGUUCGGAAUCAGAUUGGUGCGACAGAAGAACUGCUAUGCGUGUUGGCAUUUGAACCUGAAAACAUUUGGCAACUUUAUGAUCCUUGUCGAGACAAGUGGAUAACUCUCCCUGUCAUGCCAUCUCAGAUUAGGAACAUUGCCCGUUUUGGAGUUGCCUCUGUUGCUGGAAAACUCUAUGUAAUUGGUGGUGGCAGUGAUAGAGUCUGGUCUUAUGAUCCUCUCCACCGCUUGUGGGCCCAGAGGGCUCCAAUGCUUGUAGCUCGAGCUAUGUUUGCUUGUUGUGCAUUGGAUGGGAAGAUAAUUGUUGCUGGGGGCUUUAAAAACUGCCGCAAAUCGAUAUCGGAGGCUGAGAUUUACGAUCCUGAAGCUGACACCUGGGAGUCCCUCCCUGACCUCCGUCAGGCACACCCCUCUGCAUGCUCUGGUCUUGUCAUCAAGGAUAAGAUGCACGUAUUGCAUAAAGGGAUAUCCACAGUCCAGAUUCUCGAAGAUGGUGGUAAUUAUUGGGCUGUUGAGGACUACUCUUGGCUGCAAGGCCCAAUGGCAAUGGUUGGUGGAGAGUUGUAUGUGCUGAGCAAUAGCUGCAUUAGGAAGCAGCAUGGAGAGAAUUUCCCUGAUAAGAUGGUUCCUUGUGCAUCAGGAUUCCAAAGCAGGAUCGGCUUUGGCAUGAUUGGUUUAGGGGACAGCAUAUGUUUGUUUGGUGGAGUGAUCGGGCCUGGGCCAAGAAAUCAGUGCAUUAAGCCAUUGUCUGAUGUUGAUAUCUUGAAUGUCGCAAGCGAGAGGCCAACCUGGCGACAAGGAUCACCGAUGACGCGUUGCCGAGGUAGUAUCGCCGGCUGUGCUCUGCUGAAGAUCUAG
rnacentral:rRNA from 1 species